UGGGGAAUUUUGGACAAUGGGGGCAACCCUGAUCCAGCAAUGCCGCGUGUGUGAAGAAGGCCUUCGGGUUGUAAAGCACUUUUGUCCGGAAAGAAAACGUCGUGGUUAAUACCCGUGGCGGCUGACGGUACCGGAAGAAUAAGCACCGGCUAACUACGUGCCAGCAGCCGCGGUAAUACGUAGGGUGCAAGCGUUAAUCGGAAUUACUGGGCGUAAAGCGUGCGCAGGCGGUCCGCUAAGACAGAUGUGAAAUCCCCGGGCUUAACCUGGGAACUGCAUUUGUGACUGGCGGGCUAGAGUAUGGCAGAGGGGGGUAGAAUUCCACGUGUAGCAGUGAAAUGCGUAGAGAUGUGGAGGAAUACCGAUGGCGAAGGCAGCCCCCUGGGCCAAUACUGACGCUCAUGCACGAAAGCGUGGGGAGCAAACAGGAUUAGAUACCCUGGUAGUCCACGCCCUAAACGAUGUCAACUAGUUGUCGGGUCUUCAUUGACUUGGUAACGUAGCUAACGCGUGAAGUUGACCGCCUGGGAGUACGGUCGCAAGAUUAAAACUCAAAUGAAUUGACGGGGUC
rnacentral:rRNA from 1 species